rnacentral:rRNA from 1 species
GGUUGAUCCUGCCAGUAGUCAUACGCUCAUCUCAAAGAUUAAGCCAUGCAUGUCUAAGUACAAGCACUUGUACUGUGAAACUGCGAAUGGCUCAUUAUACCAGUUAUAGUUUAUUUGAUAGAUUUCUACUACUUGGAUAACCGUAGUAAUUCUAGAGCUAAUACAUGCAACAAUGCCCAACUUUUCGGACGGGCAGUAUUUAUUAGAUCGAAACCAAUGCGGGGUUCGCCCCGGUGUUGUGGUGAGUCAUGAUAACUAAGCGAAUCGCAGUGAUUUAAG